CUGGUCUGAUGACAGUGGGUUGUCAGAACUUAUCAGCAUUAGUUUAGUGUCACUAUAGUUGACAUACAACCCCCCCACUGCUAAAUUUGGCUGAAGAAAA
rnacentral:Y_RNA from 1 species